UACGAAGGGGGGCUAGCGUUGCUCGGAAUCACUGGGCGUAAAGCGCACGUAGGCGGAUUGCUAAGUCAGGGGUGAAAUCCUGGAGCUCAACUCCAGAACUGCCUUUGAUACUGGCAAUCUCGAGUCCGGGAGAGGUGAGUGGAACUGCGAGUGUAGAGGUGAAAUUCGUAGAUAUUCGCAAGAACACCAGUGGCGAAGGCGGCUCACUG
rnacentral:rRNA from 1 species